AAAUUGAAGAGUUUGAUCAUGGCUCAGAUUGAACGCUGGCGGCAGGCCUAACACAUGCAAGUCGAGCGGAAACGAGUUAUCAGAACCUUCGGGGGACGAUAGCGGCGUCGAGCGGCGGACGGGUGAGUAAUGCCUAGGAAAUUGCCCUGAUGUGGGGGAUAACCAUUGGAAACGAUGGCUAAUACCGCAUGAUGCCUACGGGCCAAAGAGGGGGACCUUCGG
rnacentral:rRNA from 1 species